AUUUGAAAUCUUAUCUAAACUUGGUUUUUUAUAUUUUUAGUUUACUCCUUUAUAUUAUUCUCUAUGUUACUUAAAUGUGCUCAGAAAUCUUAAGGUGAAAUAAAAUAGAGAUAUUUAAUAAUUAAGGCUAUUACUUAUUAUUUCCCUGUGAGAUUGUCACAGAGCCAAUAUUGAAAAUAUGUAAUCUCAUUCACUAGGUUUUGUUUCCUACCUUUUUGGUUUGUGUUGAGAGAGGGGGAAAAUCAUGGGUUUGUCAAACAGAUCAGUAGAAAAAUAGACAAAGCAGUUCUCAAAAUACUUGAUUGGCAGGGGUAUGGAGAAAUGGAUGUUAUGUCAAGCAGUAAGUAUAACAUGAGAGGGUAGUUUGAGCAACAUUUAUUGAAAAUUUCAUUAGUGGGUUGUUUCCAUUAAAAAUAUAGAGUUAAGAUGAUCAUAAAAUGUUCUUAAGGUAAUAUACAACCAUCAGCAUUUAUUUGUCUAGCUUUCUUUAUUUUUGAAGUGUGUACAUGUAAGUAAUAGGAUAUGAGCUGUAGUCCAGCCCCGUGAGAUGACAGCAAAGGCCAUCUAGGCUAGUUCAGCCAAUAAACAUCAUUCGUUCCUUUCUUCUACAAAGAUAGCAGUAAUGAGCAUAUGUAUGAGCUCACAAUAGUCUUAGUGUUAUUUCAGGAAAAAUAGAGUUGUACUCCUGUUGACCUAGUAAUUCUACUUUUGAGGAGAAAUACAUUUUGAUUAUUUUAUUACCCUUCAAUGAAUUAUUGUCUGUUU
rnacentral:lncRNA from 1 species